CCUACGGGUGGCUGCAGUGGGGAAUAUUGGACAAUGGGCGCAAGCCUGAUCCAGCAAUGCCGCGUGUGUGAAGAAGGCCUGCGGGUUGUAAAGCACUUUGAGUGGGGAAGAAGGCCUGGGGGUUAAUAGCUUCUGGGAUUGACGUUACCCACAGAACAAGCACCGGCUAACUCCGUGCCAGCAGCCGCGGUAAUACGGAGGGUGCGAGCGUUCGUCGGAAUUGCUGGGCGGGUAGAAUGAGUCGGCGGUGAAAGCCCUGGGCUUAACCUGGGAACUGCAUUGGAUACUGUUUGACUGGAGUGUGGUAGAGGGGUGUGGAAUUUCCGGUGUAGCAGUGAAAUGCGUAGAGAUCGGAAGGAACACCAGUGGCGAAGGCGGCACCCUGGACCGACACUGACGCUGAGGUGCGAAAGCGUGGGGAGCAAACAGGAUUAGAUACCCCGGUAGUC
rnacentral:rRNA from 1 species